GGUUAAGCGACUAAGCGUACACGGUGGAUGCCCUGGCAGUCAGAGGCGAUGAAGGACGUGCUAAUCUGCGAUAAGCGUCGGUAAGGUGAUAUGAACCGUUAUAACCGGCGAUUUCCGAAUGGGGAAACCCAGUGUGAUUCGUCACACUAUCAUUAACUGAAUCCAUAGGUUAAUGAGGCGAACCGGGGGAACUGAAACAUCUAAGUACCCCGAGGAAAAGAAAUCAACCGAGAUUCCCCCAGUAGCGGCGAGCGAACGGGGAGCAGCCCAGAGCCUGAAUCAGUGUGUGUGUUAGUGGAAGCGUCUGGAAAGGCGCGCGAUACAGGGUGACAGCCCCGUACACAAAAAUGCACAUGCUGUGAGCUCGAUGAGUAGGGCGGGACACGUGGUAUCCUGUCUGAAUAUGGGGGGACCAUCCUCCAAGGCUAAAUACUCCUGACUGACCGAUAGUGAACCAGUACCGUGAGGGAAAGGCGAAAAGAACCCCGGCGAGGGGAGUGAAAAAGAACCUGAAACCGUGUACGUACAAGCAGUGGGAGCACGCUUAGGCGUGUGACUGCGUACCUUUUGUAUAAUGGGUCAGCGACUUAUAUUCUGUAGCAAGGUUAACCGAAUAGGGGAGCCGAAGGGAAACCGAGUCUUAACUGGGCGUUAAGUUGCAGGGUAUAGACCCGAAACCCGGUGAUCUAGCCAUGGGCAGGUUGAAGGUUGGGUAACACUAACUGGAGGACCGAACCGACUAAUGUUGAAAAAUUAGCGGAUGACUUGUGGCUGGGGGUGAAAGGCCAAUCAAACCGGGAGAUAGCUGGUUCUCCCCGAAAGCUAUUUAGGUAGCGCCUCGUGAAUUCAUCUCCGGGGGUAGAGCACUGUUUCGGCAAGGGGGUCAUCCCGACUUACCAACCCGAUGCAAACUGCGAAUACCGGAGAAUGUUAUCACGGGAGACACACGGCGGGUGCUAACGUCCGUCGUGAAGAGGGAAACAACCCAGACCGCCAGCUAAGGUCCCAAAGUCAUGGUUAAGUGGGAAACGAUGUGGGAAGGCCCAGACAGCCAGGAUGUUGGCUUAGAAGCAGCCAUCAUUUAAAGAAAGCGUAAUAGCUCACUGGUCGAGUCGGCCUGCGCGGAAGAUGUAACGGGGCUAAACCAUGCACCGAAGCUGCGGCAGCGACACUAUGUGUUGUUGGGUAGGGGAGCGUUCUGUAAGCCUGUGAAGGUGUACUGUGAGGUAUGCUGGAGGUAUCAGAAGUGCGAAUGCUGACAUAAGUAACGAUAAAGCGGGUGAAAAGCCCGCUCGCCGGAAGACCAAGGGUUCCUGUCCAACGUUAAUCGGGGCAGGGUGAGUCGACCCCUAAGGCGAGGCCGAAAGGCGUAGUCGAUGGGAAACAGGUUAAUAUUCCUGUACUUGGUGUUACUGCGAAGGGGGGACGGAGAAGGCUAUGUUGGCCGGGCGACGGUUGUCCCGGUUUAAGCGUGUAGGCUGGUUUUCCAGGCAAAUCCGGAAAAUCAAGGCUGAGGCGUGAUGACGAGGCACUACGGUGCUGAAGCAACAAAUGCCCUGCUUCCAGGAAAAGCCUCUAAGCAUCAGGUAACAUCAAAUCGUACCCCAAACCGACACAGGUGGUCAGGUAGAGAAUACCAAGGCGCUUGAGAGAACUCGGGUGAAGGAACUAGGCAAAAUGGUGCCGUAACUUCGGGAGAAGGCACGCUGAUACGUAGGUGAAGUCCCUCGCGGAUGGAGCUGAAAUCAGUCGAAGAUACCAGCUGGCUGCAACUGUUUAUUAAAAACACAGCACUGUGCAAACACGAAAGUGGACGUAUACGGUGUGACGCCUGCCCGGUGCCGGAAGGUUAAUUGAUGGGGUUAGCGGUAACGCGAAGCUCUUGAUCGAAGCCCCGGUAAACGGCGGCCGUAACUAUAACGGUCCUAAGGUAGCGAAAUUCCUUGUCGGGUAAGUUCCGACCUGCACGAAUGGCGUAAUGAUGGCCAGGCUGUCUCCACCCGAGACUCAGUGAAAUUGAACUCGCUGUGAAGAUGCAGUGUACCCGCGGCAAGACGGAAAGACCCCGUGAACCUUUACUAUAGCUUGACACUGAACAUUGAGCCUUGAUGUGUAGGAUAGGUGGGAGGCUUUGAAGUGUGGACGCCAGUCUGCAUGGAGCCGACCUUGAAAUACCACCCUUUAAUGUUUGAUGUUCUAACGUGGACCCGUAAUCCGGGUUGCGGACAGUGUCUGGUGGGUAGUUUGACUGGGGCGGUCUCCUCCUAAAGAGUAACGGAGGAGCACGAAGGUUGGCUAAUCCUGGUCGGACAUCAGGAGGUUAGUGCAAUGGCAUAAGCCAGCUUGACUGCGAGCGUGACGGCGCGAGCAGGUGCGAAAGCAGGUCAUAGUGAUCCGGUGGUUCUGAAUGGAAGGGCCAUCGCUCAACGGAUAAAAGGUACUCCGGGGAUAACAGGCUGAUACCGCCCAAGAGUUCAUAUCGACGGCGGUGUUUGGCACCUCGAUGUCGGCUCAUCACAUCCUGGGGCUGAAGUAGGUCCCAAGGGUAUGGCUGUUCGCCAUUUAAAGUGGUACGCGAGCUGGGUUUAGAACGUCGUGAGACAGUUCGGUCCCUAUCUGCCGUGGGCGCUGGAGAACUGAGGGGGGCUGCUCCUAGUACGAGAGGACCGGAGUGGACGCAUCACUGGUGUUCGGGUUGUCAUGCCAAUGGCACUGCCCGGUAGCUAAAUGCGGAAGAGAUAAGUGCUGAAAGCAUCUAAGCACGAAACUUGCCCCGAGAUGAGUUCUCCCUGACUCCUUGAGAGUCCUGAAGGAACGUUGAAGACGACGACGUUGAUAGGCCGGGUGUGUAAGCGCAGCGAUGCGUUGAGCUAACCGGUACUAAUGAACCGUGAGGCUUAACCUU
rnacentral:rRNA from 1 species